rnacentral:lncRNA from 1 species
AAGAGGAUAAACUUUGUUUACCUCUGUUCACCCUUGGCUACAGAUAAAUCCUCAGCAGGUGCCAAGCGUUACGGCUUCCUGAAUUGUAAUGAAACAAGAUGCAAAGCUUCUGCAAUCAGUUAUGACUCUCGAGAACUGGCGUUUCGGAGGCCUAUUUGCUCUGAAAGAAAGAUUGUAAAGCUAUUUGCUUUGUCUCUUAAUAGGCCAGAAGCAACAUCUCUACAUUCUUCUCUCGGAAGGAGUUGUUCCAUGGAGGUAUUUCACUCUUGGAAAUCCUGGCUGGGGCAAACACAGAAAUGUCCAGCCUACCUUGGCUAUCUGUCUUUGCUGCCUGGGGAUUGUGCCUGUGGCUGGUGCCCAAAACCUCAGCUGAAAUCUGUGUGCAAGAGGGGGAACACAACAGUUUAUUCAAGCUCCAUUGUCCCCACCAUCUUUCAUGUGUCUUUCACAUCAAGGUAAAAAGAGUCUCAUCAGUUUUCUUCUUUAUAACAAAGCAAAUAAUAUUCUGAAAGUUUGAGCAAUGCCUUUCAAUACAGGAACAGCUCCAGAAAUGUCCUACAAAAGCCAUUUUUCUAAUAGAGAAGGCUGCUACCUGACUGUUCUGUAACAAUCAAGGAAAUUCAUGAGUCCCUAUUUCCCCCUAGAAGACAUGAAGUCUCAGGAUCCCCUAAUAAAUUUCUUUCCAAUCAGGCCUGAAGAAAUCA